AAAAGAAAAAGGAGAAAAAGAAGCAAGGAGGGAAAAUUUAAAACACAAAAGCACAUCGCGGGGCUGCUGCUCAUAUGCAGACUUACCUGAGGAGCACAGGCACUGGAGAGCCGCAGAGACGAACAGCAAGUGGAUGGGAAAGGAGCCCUCUACAACACAAACCUCAUUGACUUAAUGGGCCGGUUUUGGAUUUCGCCUUCGAAAGGUUCGGAAAGCGGCAGCGUUGUGUUACUGCCCCGCCGGCUCCAGCCCCGGUUAUCAUCCCCGUGAGACCGGGAUCCGGAAAAUAAAAAUGUCGCUGAUUUG